rnacentral:misc_RNA from 1 species
AUAGAAGCAAGCAUCGGCGUUGGGCGUGGGAAGUGAGGAUCCAAUCUCCCGUAACAAAGCCCAGAGACCAGAGUCGUCCAAAGGCAAAAACCCUUCAUCAUUGACGACCAAAGCUUCAACGACUUCAACCAUGUUGCAAUUCCUUCAUACUUACAAGAAUCUAAUCAGCCAAAUCUCACUCUCUAUUUCCCUUACUCUCCUCCUCAUUUUCCUCAAGAUUCCCAUUUUAUUCCUUCAAGGCCUCCACACUUACAUCCACCCUGAUAAUCUUGCCCAACAAAAUGGUGUCAAAGCCGCUAUUCGAAGACCCUCCUCCACAUCAGAUUCACCUUCUGGCCUUGACGGCUAUCAGAAUUUGUCAUCCAAGACUAGUACCGACUUUAAAAGGAGAAAUAAAUCCAAGGAAAAGUUCGAGUUCGAUGAGAACAAUGCCCAGAUCUUUAGGUUGAAGCUCGAUGAAGCUCAUCUUCAAUCUCGCCUCUACUUCCAUGAUUACUGGUAUUCCUUUAUUUGCUCAUCAGUUGCACUUUCUUGCUUGUUGCUUUAUAAGUAUUUGGAUGUGGUUGAACAUGAUGGGAUCUUUGCAAUUGGAUCUUUAAUUCCACUGAUUUUAGGAUUUGCUGGCUUAUCCAAAUUAUUUUUAUCGUUAGCAAGAGCUUCGUUAGAGAAAUCUGCCUCGAAGAGGUCGGACAAACAAUUGAGUGCGCUUUUGGGGAUUCUGGCCUUCCUUUUUGGGCUUAUGAUUUGUUCAGGAGUUUUUCAUUCGGUUUUUGACUUCGAUUUUGGUUCAGUUGACGGCUAUGGAAGGGUUUUUGUUGCAUUUUUAAUGGGAUGCCUUGCUGGGUUUAUGUACAUGCCAGCGGCCAAGAAUGCACGGGCAUUUUGGCUUGGAACAGAUCAGCUUAGGUCUAAUAUGGCUAUGAUUUCCUGUGGAUGGUUUGCUAGGAUCAUCCUAUAUGCCAAUUAUUUGUUGUCUUUUUUCACAGCAUUGCUUUGGAUUAAUCCAUUAGGUGAUUUUCUUAUCAGCAAAACCAUUGUUUAUAGUAAAAAAACAUAUUCAAAGUCAAGCAGCAGUGCUGGAGAUGCUAACAAGUUAGUUGGGAAUGUCGGUUUUACGCAAUCAGAGUUUUCAAAGUUUAGGCUUUGGUGCUUGUUACUUUCGGGGCUUGUCCAGAUUGUGGCUUUACGGCCAAACUUGCAAAUGUAUUUGAAUGAAGCAUUGUUGUCUUGGUACCAGCGGUUGCACGCCAGUAAGGUUCCAGAUUUGGAUUUCAGCAGAGCUAAGGUUUUUUUGCACAACCACUACUUAUGUCUUGUAGUUUUGCAGUUUUUAGCACCGCCAACUCUAGCACUUCUCUUCCUUGGUCUAUCUCAGAUUGGUAUCCCAUUUAAGAAUUUACAAUUGUUAUGCAGUUUACUUCCUUGUAGUGCUUUUGUGAAAGAAGUGACUUUGCUUAUGGCCUGGUGGGUUAUCUUUCUUUGGGCAGUUUUUACUUCAGCAAGUCUAUUCUUGUACCGUCGUGGCAUUUUGUAUGUUUCUUGAUUGAUUUUAAUGUUUUUCCUGGUGGACUUCAAUGCUGUGUCUGGGACUACAAUUUUUGUCUAAUUAUGAGUGAAGAGAAUUUGUUUGUAACAGAUUCUUACUCUAGUUAACAGAUACAGUUCAAUGCAAUGAGAUACAAGAACAAUUUUCAGAAUGUCUUGUUGUUUACUUCUCUUUGUAUUUGAGUGCAAAAAUGAAGAAUAUAGCAAGAAUUUUAAAACUCAAAGAUGUUUGUUUUUAAUCCA